rnacentral:snoRNA from 1 species
UUUAGGUUUUAAAAAUAGAAUUUCCUCUCCGGUGCCCUCGGUGCCAUGUCUUCGGUGCCGGUGGCUACCCGUCCAUUGGUUCUAUCUCAAACAUCGGGCCAAGG